AACACACAGCAGCUGCGGGUGCAGCUGGAGAAGAUGUUCGAGGCGAUGGGUGGGAAGGAGCUGGACGCCGAGGCCAGUGGAACCCUGAAGGAGCUGCAGGUGAAACUCAACAAUGUCCUGGAUGAACUCAGCCACGUGUUUGCCACCAGCUUCCAGCCACACAUCGAGGAGUGUGUCAGACAAAUGGGUGACAUCCUAAGCCAAGUGAAGGGCACGGGCAACGUGCCCGCCAGUGCCUGCAGCAGCGUGGCACAGGACGCGGACAACGUGCUACAGCCCAUCAUGGAUCUUCUGGACAGCAACCUCACCCUGUUUGCCAAAAUCUGUGAGAAGACGGUUCUGAAGCGGGUGCUGAAGGAGCUGUGGAAGCUGGUGAUGAACACC
rnacentral:lncRNA from 1 species